rnacentral:lncRNA from 1 species
UCUACUAAACACGGGUUGUUGACUCUCCAGGGCAGAACUGCUCUGAUACCACUUUUUGUCACAAUCCAAACCAACAGACCGCGACAGGCACCCAGUACCUUAUUUGACUGAGUACCAAUGUAAUAUAUCCUUCUUAUUACAACAUUAUAUACGCGUGACAUAUGAGCUUAAUGUGCUAACAUAAUCAUUUAUAAACUUAAACAUAGUCCGACAGGGCCGUACAAUAUUUAACGUACACGAUAUAUGUCUACAAGCCUCUAAGAAUAUACAAAUGAUAUAAAUACCGGGACAGAAGCCCCGCCAUACAGAACAAUACACUUCUAAAUAAUGUAACCAAAUAAGCAACUCUGAAGUGAAUGGAGCGCACCAACAACUUCUAUUGGGCUGAUUGCCUAAUUGAAGGGCUCUUGACUCGUCUAUCUAGACAUACGGGCAUGAAACGCAGCGUCCCCUGUCAAAAGGGACAUCAGUACAAAGCACAUAAAUAAAUACAUUGAACACAUAUGGAGUAGAUGACUCAACCUGUAAUUCUGAAUAACUUUGUGAAUAAUAAAUUAUGUUUAGCGUCAUCCAUAUGCGUAUGAAUGUCAUGUCGUGCAUAGGUACAUAUUUCAUAACAUCAUAGUGUCUGAGUGAAUCCCAUCAAAUCAUAUAGGCCAUUGUGGGUAAAAUUAUCAUCGUAUACCAGCAGAACAGAUGGUGGUGCGUAUAUAGCGCCAUAACAUUUCUCAUACAUACAUACAUACAAACACACACACACACAGACACACAUAUACACACACACAUACACACACACACACUCAUACAUACAUACAUACAUACAUAUGAUGCCAUUUGGAUACAUACUCAUAUAUGCGUAUAUAACACUGUUUGAAUUAUAUUUCAGCCACUCCGAAUAACAUCAUAAUCAUAUACUAGCUGAUCAGGUGGUGGUGCGUAUAUAACACCGUUCGGGUCAUAAGUUAAUGUACAUAUAUAAAUGCAUGAAAUGCAUAUGAAAUAUAAUAACAAAAUCUCUCGAUACGUCAUAAGACCAUCAUACCUUUGAUUAAUAUCAUAACACCAUUUUAUAUAUUUUCUGAGACCCAUGAACAUACGAUGAAAUAAUAAUACAUAUGAAAAUUCAGGAACAUAGGCACUUCUAGUACUUCUAUUAAUUGAGACAUAUAUGAAAUUUGUACAUUUGUAUAUUUCGUUCAUAUCGUAUGUAUCAUACCAAAAGAAAGAACAGAUAACCUUAUAAUACCUGAGGUAGAAAAUAACCCGUAUAAUAUUCUUGGCGAAAAUUACACCGCACUUUUUUUACAACCGCUUUCUAGCUCUUUUAUUUUUGGAACGUUACAAUAAUCAGUAUUAAGAUUUGGAGGAAGAGACAUUGAAGCCCAUACCGUCAGAUUACUCGUACUUGGGAGGAUAGGUCCAACUCCACCUAAUUCCAUCAAAGUCACUUCAUGAAAUGAAUCUUAACCCAGGCAAGAGUUUAGAAGGAAAACAAAUCAAU